UUCCAGACUCCUACGGGAGGCAGCAGUGGGGAAUAUUGCACAAUGGGGGAAACCCUGAUGCAGCAACGCCGCGUGAGUGAAGAAGUCAUUCGUGAUGUAAAGCUCUAUCAGCAGGGAAGAAAAUGACGGUACCCGAGUAAGAAGCCCCGGCUAACUACGUACCAGCAGCCGCGGUAAUACGUAGGGGGCAAGCGUUAUCCGGAUUUACUGGGUGUAAAGGGAGCGUAGACGGCCAGACAAGUCUGAAGUGAAAAUCCAGCGCUUAACGUUGGAAGUGCUUUGGAAACUGCCGGGCUGGAGUGCAGGAGGGGCAGGCGGAAUUCCUAGUGUAGCGGUGAAAUGCGUAGAUAUUAGGAGGAACACCAGUGGCGAAGGCGGCCUGCUGGGCUUUUACUGACGCUGAGGCUCGAAAGUGUGGGGAGCAAACAGGAUUAGAUACCCGUGUA
rnacentral:rRNA from 1 species